GUGGGGAUGGGCAGGGCA
rnacentral:misc_RNA from 1 species